GCUCCUUCCUGGAGGACCGCCCCCAGAGAGUACAGCUUGGGGAGAGGGUCUCAGCCCCGUGGAAUCUCAAUUGUGGGGUUCCACAGGGGUCGAUCAUCUCUCCAAUGCUGUUUAACAUCUUCAUGAGGCUGCUGGGCGGGGUCAUCAGAGGGUGUGGGGCAUUGUGUCACCAGUACGCUGAUGACACACAGCUCUACAUCUCUUUUACUCCAACUUCAGUGGAUGCCAUCCAGUCCCUCCAGCGCUGCCUGGAGACCGUACUGUGGAAUGGAUGCAGUCAAAUGGAUUGAGGCUGAACCCGGACAAGACGGAGGUCUUGAGGGUGGGUGGCCCUCCCGUCAGUGGCAUAGGUGACUCCCUUUCUUUUGGAGGGACGACCCUUGCCGCAAAGAGUGAGGUCCGCAGCUUGGGGAUACAUCUGGACCCAGCGCUUACCAUGGAAACCCAGGUGACGUCCGUGGUCCGCUCCGCCUAUUUUAAUCUAUGGCGGAUUGCCCAGCUGCGGCCAUAUCUUGAUCGGGGGGCCCUCACUACUCUAGUCCAUGAGCUCGUAAUCUCGAGAUUAGACCAUUGUAAUGCACUCUACGUGGGGCUGCCUUUGAGGCUCAUGUGGAACCUUCAGAUGGUCCAGAAUGCAACAGCCAGGCUUCUUAGUGGGGUGAGAAAAUUUCAGCACAUCUCCCCCACUCUGGCUGCACUGCACUGGUUACCUAUUCAUUUCCUCAUCGACUUCAAAGUGUUAAUGAUUACAUAUAAAGCCCUAAACGGUUUGGGGCCUCAAUAUUUGGCAGAUCGCCUCCUCCCACCCAGAUCUACCCGAAUCACCCGACAUAGCCAGCAGGGGUGGCUGAGGAGACUGACGCCGAGGGAGGCCCGGAAGGAGAAAACAAGAAACCGGGCCUUCUCGGCGGUCACCCCUCGGCUGUGGAACACACUUCCCACUGAAAUUCGGCUGGGACCCUCGCUGGGUAGGUUCAAAAACCAAUUAAAAACUUGGUUAUUUAAACAGGCCUUACCCCCCCCCAGUCACCUAAGUUCUUUUCUUUCUUUUUCUUCUGGUUCUUAAUUUUGCCAUCUUGGAUAGGAUUAAUUAUAAUAAUUGCACUAUGCUCGGUAUUUUAUGUUGUUUUAAUGUGUUUUAAUCUUUGUAAGCCACCCCGAGUAGACGUUGUCUAGCGGGGCGGGGGAAAAAUUGAAU
rnacentral:lncRNA from 1 species